CCUGGCUUAGGAUGAACGCUAGCUACAGGCUAACACAUGCAAGUCGAGGGGCAGCAUGAUCAAAGCUUGCUUGAUGAUGGCGACCGGCGCACGGGUGAGUAACGCGUAUCCAACCUUCCCCAUAGUAGAGGAUAGCCCGGCGAAAGUCGGAUUAAUACUCUAUGUUGUACAACGAGGACAUCUGAAUUGUACCAAAGAUUUAUCGCUAUGGGAUGGGGAUGCGUCUGAUUAGGUAGUCGGCGGGGUAACGGCCCACCGAGCCGACGAUCAGUAGGGGUUCUGAGAGGAAGGUCCUCCACAUUGGUACUGAGACACGGACCAAACUCCUACGGGAGGCAGCAGUGAGGAAUAUUGGUCAAUGGACGAGAGUCUGAACCAGCCAAGUAGCGUGCAGGAAUGACUGCCCUAUGGGUUGUAAACUGCUUUUAUGCGGGAAUAAAGUCAGGUACGCGUACCUGUUUGUAUGUACCGCAUGAAUAAGGACCGGCUAAUUCCGUGCCAGCCGCUGC
rnacentral:rRNA from 1 species